rnacentral:rRNA from 1 species
GUGUGACUGCGUACCUUUUGUAUAAUGGGUCAGCGACUUAUAUUCUGUAGCAAGGUUAACCGAAUAGGGGAGCCGAAGGGAAACCGAGUCUUAACUGGGCGUUAAGUUGCAGGGUAUAGACCCGAAACCCGGUGAUCUAGCCAUGGGCAGGUUGAAGGUUGGGUAACACUAACUGGAGGACCGAACCGACUAAUGUUGAAAAAUUAGCGGAUGACUUGUGGCUGGGGGUGAAAGGCCAAUCAAACCGGGAGAUAGCUGGUUCUCCCCGAAAGCUAUUUAGGUAGCGCCUCGUGAAUUCAUCUCCGGGGGUAGAGCACUGUUUCGGCAAGGGGGUCAUCCCGACUUACCAACCCGAUGCAAACUGCGAAUACCGGAGAAUGUUAUCACGGGAGACACACGGCGGGUGCUAACGUCCGUCGUGAAGAGGGAAACAACCCAGACCGCCAGCUAAGGUCCCAAAGUCAUGGUUAAGUGGGAAACGAUGUGGGAAGGCCCAGACAGCCAGGAUGUUGGCUUAGAAGCAGCCAUCAUUUAAAGAAAGCGUAAUAGCUCACUGGUCGAGUCGGCCUGCGCGGAAGAUGUAACGGGGCUAAACCAUGCACCGAAGCUGCGGCAGCGACGCUGAUGCGUUGUUGGGUAGGGGAGCGUUCUGUAAGCCUGUGAAGGUGUGCUGUGAGGCAUGCUGGAGGUAUCAGAAGUGCGAAUGCUGACAUAAGUAACGAUAAAGCGGGUGAAAAGCCCGCUCGCCGGAAGACCAAGGGUUCCUGUCCAACGUUAAUCGGGGCAGGGUGAGUCGACCCCUAAGGCGAGGCCGAAAGGCGUAGUCGAUGGGAAACAGGUUAAUAUUCCUGUACUUGGUGUUACUGCGAAGGGGGGACGGAGAAGGCUAUGUUGGCCGGGCGACGGUUGUCCCGGUUUAAGCGUGUAGGCUGGUUUUCCAGGCAAAUCCGGAAAACUAAGGCUGAGGCGUGAUGACGAGGCACUACGGUGCUGAAGCAACAAAUGCCCUGCUUCCAGGAAAAGCCUCUAAGCAUCAGGUAACAUCAAAUCGUACCCCAAACCGACACAGGUGGUCAGGUAGAGAAUACCAAGGCGCUUGAGAGAACUCGGGUGAAGGAACUAGGCAAAAUGGUGCCGUAACUUCGGGAGAAGGCACGCUGAUAUGUAGGUGAAGUCCCUCGCGGAUGGAGCUGAAAUCAGUCGAAGAUACCAGCUGGCUGCAACUGUUUAUUAAAAACACAGCACUGUGCAAACACGAAAGUGGACGUAUACGGUGUGACGCCUGCCCGGUGCCGGAAGGUUAAUUGAUGGGGUCAGCGCAAGCGAAGCUCUUGAUCGAAGCCCCGGUAAACGGCGGCCGUAACUAUAACGGUCCUAAGGUAGCGAAAUUCCUUGUCGGGUAAGUUCCGACCUGCACGAAUGGCGUAAUGAUGGCCAGGCUGUCUCCACCCGAGACUCAGUGAAAUUGAACUCGCUGUGAAGAUGCAGUGUACCCGCGGCAAGACGGAAAGACCCCGUGAACCUUUACUAUAGCUUGACACUGAACAUUGAGCCUUGAUGUGUAGGAUAGGUGGGAGGCUUUGAAGUGUGGACGCCAGUCUGCAUGGAGCCGACCUUGAAAUACCACCCUUUAAUGUUUGAUGUUCUAACGUUGACCCGUAAUCCGGGUUGCGGACAGUGUCUGGUGGGUAGUUUGACUGGGGCGGUCUCCUCCUAAAGAGUAACGGAGGAGCACGAAGGUUGGCUAAUCCUGGUCGGACAUCAGGAGGUUAGUGCAAUGGCAUAAGCCAGCUUGACUGCGAGCGUGACGGCGCGAGCAGGUGCGAAAGCAGGUCAUAGUGAUCCGGUGGUUCUGAAUGGAAGGGCCAUCGCUCAACGGAUAAAAGGUACUCCGGGGAUAACAGGCUGAUACCGCCCAAGAGUUCAUAUCGACGGCGGUGUUUGGCACCUCGAUGUCGGCUCAUCACAUCCUGGGGCUGAAGUAGGUCCCAAGGGUAUGGCUGUUCGCCAUUUAAAGUGGUACGCGAGCUGGGUUUAGAACGUCGUGAGACAGUUCGGUCCCUAUCUGCCGUGGGCGCUGGAGAACUGAGGGGGGCUGCUCCUAGUACGAGAGGACCGGAGUGGACGCAUCACUGGUGUUCGGGUUGUCAUGCCAAUGGCACUGCCCGGUAGCUAAAUGCGGAAGAGAUAAGUGCUGAAAGCAUCUAAGCACGAAACUUGCCCCGAGAUGAGUUCUCCCUGACUCCUUGAGAGUCCUGAAGGAACGUUGAAGACGACGACGUUGAUAGGCCGG